AUUUUUUUUAAUUAUAUAUACAGCUUUUAUAAGGAGUUUUUAUACUAAUAUUACAAAACAUUAAUAACAUACCCUCUGCAGUUCAUAUAAAUCUAUCAUUUUUAGAUUUGAAAUAUGUUAAAAUAUCGGAGGAAACUAAACAUUAAAUGUGCACAGAAUAUUGAAAAAGGUAGCUUCUGUGAUUAUGGACAGGUAGCAACGGUGGCUCUAUGGUUAGCUCGGCAUCGUUUCUAUUAGAUAGCAGAGAGGGUAGGUUAAGGUCGCAGCAAGUCACCUCUUAGAAAAGCUGUUGAGAGGAUGAAACAAUAAAGUCUUGUUUAGUUUAGUUCUCAUUGCUGUCUUUCUGAUUCUAAGUUACAAAUCUUUCAAGUUAAAGUGAUUUUUUGAGUUUGAUCUUUGAAGGGUUUUUGUGUUUUUAGUUUAAGAUCGUGGGUUUUUGCUUCUUCUCAAAUGUUUUCCCUUUUUAUUUAAGGUUUUGGAGAUGAUAGUAAGUUGUAAUUAUGUUAGGUUAAUUGAGAUUACUGGGGAUUAGUUGGAUUCUUACGUUUCAUAUUU